rnacentral:rRNA from 1 species
AUUGAACGCUGGCGGCAGGUCUAACACUUGCAAGUCGAACGAGUGGCGGACGGGUGAGUAAUGACUUGGAAACUGCCUGAUGUAGGGGGAUAACUACUGGAAACGGUAGCUAAUACCGCAUACCUUCGGAUGUUCCCCGAUUGGAUUGGCGAGUAGGUGGGGUAAAGGCUGACCUAGUUGACGAUCCCUAGCUGGUCUGAGAGGAUGACCGGCCCCACUGGAACGGAGGCACGGUCCAGACGCCUACGGGAGGCAGCAGUGGGGAAUAUUGCACAAUGGGCGCAAGCCUGAUGCAGCGAUGCCGCGUGUAUGAAGAAGGCCUUCGGGUUGUAAAGUACUUUCAGCGGGGAGGCGUUACCCGCAGAAGAAGCACCGGCUAACUCCGUGCCAGCAGCCGCGGUAAUAC